rnacentral:rRNA from 1 species
UGGGGAAUAUUGCACAAUGGGCGCAAGCCUGAUGCAGCCAUGCCGCGUGUAUGAAGAAGGCCUUCGGGUUGUAAAGUACUUUCAGCGGGGAGGAAGGCGUUAAGGUUAAUAACCUUGGCGAUUGACGUUACCCGCAGAAGAAGCACCGGCUAACUCCGUGCCAGCAGCCGCGGUAAUACGGAGGGUGCAAGCGUUAAUCGGAAUUACUGGGCGUAAAGCGCACGCAGGCGGUCUGUCAAGUCGGAUGUGAAAUCCCCGGGCUUAACCUGGGAACUGCAUUCGAAACUGGCAGGCUAGAGUCUUGUAGAGGGGGGUAGAAUUCCAGGUGUAGCGGUGAAAUGCGUAGAGAUCUGGAGGAAUACCGGUGGCGAAGGCGGCCCCCUGGACAAAGACUGACGCUCAGGUGCGAAAGCGUGGGGAGCAAACAGG